CGCGGGGCCGGGUGGGGGGCGCCGAGCAGAGGCCGAGGAGCUGCGGAGCGCGAGGGUCCGGCGGUAGCGGCCGGAUGGCGCCGGGAGUCCGAUGGCACGGGGAGGCGGAGCGGGUCGCGGUCUCGGGGACAAACGAGGGGGCGAGAGGAGCGCGGCCGCGCCGCUGCCUCCACCCGGGAGCCGGCGCUGGGGAGGCGGAACCGGGGAGCGGAAUCCCCGCAUCGCCUCCCGCGGACUCGGUGCCGGCCGAGCCGGGACGUCCCGAAGCGCUCCCGGGAGGGGCAGCCCCGGCACCGUCGCUCCGCGCUCGGGAACCGCCGGCCGUGCCCCGGGGCGACAGCCUCUGCCAAAGCCGUAGGGUCUGUGUGCGGAAAGUGCCACGUGUGAGUGUGUCGGUGAGUUCUGCCGUUUAUGAGUGCUAGCGUGAACGUACAUUUUAAUUAAUACCUAAUUUGCGGCAUUUAUUUUAAUAAUUUGAGUAUCUUGAAGUAUUUGCACUGUUUUGCCAAAAGCUUGCAGUAGGCGCUUCAUAGCAAACACAAUAAUUAUUUGUAACUAAUUUAGCAUUUUCUCUGUACUUUGCAACUGGAUUUGAACUCUUUCUUGAUGAACAAGACAAGAAAUUGCACUUACCCUAACAGCACAAAAUUUUACUUGUCCUUCUUUAAAAAUGGUGUGAAAAUGUACACAAGAGCUUUAAUUCACCUUGUUCACCAAAGCAGCGGGUAGGUAACGUCUCAAUUUAUAGCUAAAUGUAGCUUCAACAACACAAUUUCUCUGAAAAAAAAAAAAAAAAAAAAAAAAAAAAAAAAAGAAGAAGAAGAAGAAAGAAGUAUCUAAGAGAGAGGAGAGCUCUAACAGCAGCCUGUAAAAAUCCCCAGUCAUUCGGUGAACUGUAUCCAUUUUUACUUGUUAACUCAUACAUUCAAUGAGAUUCCUUGAAUAUGGACCUGGAGUGAACAAUUGCAUGGCCAUUAACCAUGCCAAACUGCUACAGAACAGACGUAAUUCCUUUUCUUCUAGGUUAUAUUUCCCUGUUGUAUUUCAGUUGCCUGAGUUUGAGCCAUGGUAUUUUGCCACACUGGGUGCUAUAUUCUAUGAAUGCAGCGAAUUGGCUGUCGCUUCAUUUUUUUGGUGCCAUAUAUAUAGGGAGCAGAGGUGCCUCAUUUUGCACGAACAGAACAUUACCCACAACCAGGAGUUGGUGUCCCAGCUGCAGUGCAGAGCAGUGCUCAGUGCCCACAAGCCGCUUCCACUUCUUUACCAACGUUUCUGAUUUUCUUCAAUACUGUGUGAAAUAAACAUAUGGGAACAACAGCAAAAGGUCAAAAUAUGAGAGCAGUGUGCAGCUACGUUUGGUGCACAUCGUGAUGGUGGCAUACAGAUUAAUAGUGGUUGUCAGUCCUUUUAAUACCUGUUUCACUUGGCUGUCAUUACAAUGAUUUCUAAACCAGUCAAGUCCAUGAAGGCGUAUUCUACCAGACAACAGUUUUGCACUUAUAAAGAGUCAAGAGAUAUCUGGACACGUGACCCCUCUCCUAGUAAUACGUUCAAAUAAAAAUUGUUAGUUGAAUAUAUGCUUUCCUGAAAGAAGUUUGAUUAUUACAGGGAGACAUACUGGCCUACAUGGUGGUUUGUCCUGAGCCAGAGCGCUCAGCCACAGGAGCGGCAGCUGUUCCCAGAAGGGAAGCAGGCAGUGUGCCGGGGUGGGUGGGUGCCUCACAGUGCUACUUGAGGAUGAGCUGCCAUGGAUCCAACAGUUCUGUUUGAACUAUGUUUGAAAUACAUAGCCAAAAGUUGAAGAUAGUGAAUGCUGUUAUUGCAGUUAAAAGUAACUUAAAAAAAAAAAAAAUAGCUCAAGGCAUUGAUGGCUCACGUAACCGAUUUGGGAGGCAAACUGCUACCUCUAAAAAGGACAAACACCCUCAACAAAACAAAAGAGGUUUCUCACUUUUAUGAGGAGGCAAAGGCAGGGUAGGAUUAACUAUGUCCAUGUAGCAUCACUUUACUAAGGACGAAAAUAUUUCCUCAUAUUGAAAGGUAUUGCCGCUACCCUUGAUUCAGAUCAAGGUCUAAAUCCUGCAAUUGCUUGUUACUCUAAGCACAUGAGGAGGCCCCACAGGAACUAUUCACAUGUGAAAAGAGCUAGGACCAGAGCCAAAGUUUUGCAUACUGUGAAGGUCAAGCUUGCUUCCUUUGUAAGACUUGUACUUCAGAGAAAAACUCUCAGAAAUAUGGUUUCCAUACAGAAACUUCAGCUGAUUCUUCUUCUUCAGUUGUUGGGGAGGAUGCUGUAUGUGCGGUGGCUGAUUUACAGCGUUUUGUGUAAUUCUGGCCCCUGUGACUACGGUGCUGGCUGGCUCCAGGCACUGCCUUGCAGCUCUGGGAGCUGUCCCUGCCUUUCCCGGAUUGCUGUUUCUAUGUUUUCUCUUCACACUGACUUUUUGUAAACUUCUCAGAACAAAAGGAGAAAAGCCUCAUAGAUAUUAUACAACUGUUGGCUUUAGAGCUGUUAUAGAAUAACCUCGUAAUAAAAAUGCACUGGCCAUGCAAUGAAUUCUCAGCAUUUUUCCAAAGGUCAUACAAAAUAUAUUGCUUGAGCGGCCGUACUUUGGCCACUCAGAUAAGUCAUGGGGAGACCACAGCAGAUGACAGUCUCCAGGAAAUACUGUAAUUCACUUUUAUGUCUCUAUGAAGGAAAAUAAGAGACAAAGCCUUCCCCUGACUACUGGGGAGGGGGUAUAUGUGGAGACUGGCAUAGAGAACAAAAGGGAGCUACUUUUGCAAGUGUGACAGAUAAGGUUGGAGGUCUUUCUGCUGAAGGCCUUGCGUAGCUUUGCUUUGUUUCUUUUUGUUUCUCUUCAGAGCAACAGAAGAACGCAGAAAACAAAUUGUAGCUGCACUUUACUACAUCUUUUAACAGGAUUUUGCCUCAAUCCCAAGUUAUUUUCUGAGCACAUAUUUGAAAAUUAGUUUCCAUUUUCUCCAUUUUCCAUCAUCCUCAUUUACUGGAAAUGUAAAAUAAAUCUCACUUGGGAUCCCUGAGCAUGAGAACCGCUUUUACUUCUGCUUUUUGAUAUUACAUAUUCCCUAGUUUUACCUUUUGUAGGGGCAAUCCUUACCUGGGUUGCACAAUACUUCGUAAAUGACAGUUGAUACUCUAUCUGGACUUAACAUUGAAUACAGUUGUUCUUUUAGAGUUCCCUCCUUUGCAGUGAACUAUAAUUUAUAAUAGCCGAGCAACUUUUCUAAAAUAUUCGUAGAAAAACUAUUUUUGCUAAGAAACUUACAAAUCACUUUUUUUUUUCCCCACUCAGAUUCAUAAAUGCCUAAAAUGCAAGCUAGUUGAAAACCUAACUUCAGAGGAGCUGGAGCAGAACAGCUAUGAAACAUUCUGCUGCAAUCGUGUCUUUACACCACUGAAAAUAUUGCUAUCCAGUAUCAAAUGAAUACAGUAUAAAUUAGAAAUAUCAGACAUAUACAGCUACAGCCACAAAUCUAGAUGAACGACUGCCAAAUGGCAACAGUUUCAGCUGAGUUUUGCAUGCAGUUGAAGAACAAUAUUUGUCAUGAAGAUUUCAUCUAAGUCUUCCUUGAAGCAGAAUGAAUUCCAGACUCGAGACCUCAUCUAAAUCAAACUGGAAUCUGUAUUAAGCUCAGAGUACAUUUUCAUUGUGUUUAUGUUCUACUUAUUUUUUUUUUUUAUUUUUAUUUUGCUGGCUGAAAUUAGCAUGUAUGGAACACCAAGUGUAGGGGACUGAGCUGUAUUCUUCUCUCCAGGAUAGUAAGUAAGUAAAUGAAAAAAUAAAUGAAAGAAAACAAAUCACAGAGUGAAUCUACAUGACUAUGGUAUAUCUGCAUACUUUACAGUACUGCAGGUUUAUAGCUGAGUUUCUGCAGGAUUAUUUCCUUCUACCUACAACCCAAUAGACUAUGACAGUACUGAAAAUUUCCAAGGAACCAAAAUUGGUAGGCCAUGAUGAACAAAAGUCUGAGGCAAGCACACUGGCGGAGAAUCUGUGCAAAUAGUUCUUGCUGUGUACUGCUACAAAGUGCUUAAUAAUUCCCAUUCCAAAGAUUGCUGUAUAAUAGUAGCGAGUGAGGUUGUUCAAUUGGAAAAUGCUUGGGAUUGUUUUGGAAGACAGAGUUAUGCAGAAAUGCAUGGCACUGAGAUAUAGAUUCCUUUCCUUCAAUUUAUAUAACAAGAUGUUUCUUAUUAAGUUUUUCACAGGAUUAUGUAACACACCUUUCAAAACAAGAGCAUGAAGAGGUAUAUUGACAAGAAAAGCUAACAUUUCCCCUGGUCAUAACUGGAUGUCACAUUGAUGGUCAGGUUUGGAAACACCACCAGUCAGUAAUUAACAAACAGGAGCCUGCAUUCAGUUUGCCACAUGGGAACAGUGUAGAUUACUGUAUCACUCUUACCUGACUUUUGUUUGACCUCAUAGGACAUUAUGGUCUAUCAUUUAAGUCUUGGCUAUUACUCAUGGAUGCUAUAUCUGCCUGCUGAAAAUAUAGUUCUGCCAAACAAAAUCUGAAAUUGCAUUUAUGUGUGGUUUUUGUUUUUCAUCAAAACAUCACCUGUACUUCUGUGAAAUAUGCAUAAAAGUUAAAUCAUGAGAUACGUGCAGGCAGAAAAUUCCUAUUCAGAACAAAAAUCAUUAAUAAUAAUGAUAUAUAGCAAAUAAUUUUUCGAUGGUAACUUCCUCUUGUUUCUAGAGUUACUUUUGUAACUGCUGAACAAAUAUCUAUAUUUGUUAUCCUCCUGAAUGCAGAGAAAAGUGGGCUAUCAUUUACUCUUGCUAGAUGCUUUGAGCUCUCUCAGAGAGCAUGUGGUAAACUGAAUGCAGGCCCCUGUUUGUUGUUUACUGACUGGUGGUGUUUCCAAACCUGACCACUAAUGUGACAUCCAGUUACGACCAGGGGAAAUGUUAGCUUUCUCUAUGCCAGUUUAUGUGGAACAAAUCUAAUAUAAGAAGUUAAUAAAACUCACACUGUUAAAAUGCUUAUGAAGAUUAAAGACAUGCUUGUAAAAGGUUUUUGAGAUAGUGUAAAAAUACCAAUGGGUGGUUAUGGUCGGCAACUAUUAGAACUGGAAAGAAGACUUUAGAAUCUUAAUGAUAGAGAGAAUGUAAGUUAUAGGUACACCCAGUAAAGUGGCUGUGUGUUGAUCACAUUAGGGUGUUCUGUCUUACUGUGUCACAAAUUAAUACAAAAAGUGAUGUGCAGUAUCAAGCAGUAAAUAAUUUAGAGUGAUUUUUGUGUGGAAGUUUCCCAAUCAUCCCACAAAGAAUGCUCAGCAUUUUUUGAAAAUCAAGUGCCUUUAACAAUAUCAAGCAAGGGAUGCACUAGUGCUAUUCAUUUUUAACAUCAAAGCUUGUAUUUCUACUGGUUUAUCAGUUUUCCAUUUAAUAGAAGGAAGAAAGGCUUCUUGCAUAUGAAACUGCUGCAAAAUAUGUUUCCCCAAACAGUGUACAUUGAAUAAUAUUUUAACCCACUGCAAAACCAGUUUAAUUUAUUGAAAAUGUGAUUACCAUUAUUCAAAAAAAUAUGCAAGAUGUAAAUAAUUUAUUUAAUGAAGAAUUUGAGGUGAUUUUGUAUGGCUAUCUGCAGAUGGCUGCAUUUCUCAUAGCAGAAUCGCUAGAGGGAGUCAUAGGCAAUGAUACUCCUUCAGGAUCUCAAACAGGUUUGCAACUGAAAAAUUAGAAGAGGAUUUUAGGUAAUAUUUAGCAGAAAAAGAAUACCAGAUAAUUGUAAUCUCUGUAAUUUAAUUUCGCUCUCUAGUUACUGAUUAUUAAUGAAACUAGUUUGGUCUCAGAAGACACCUAUAGCAAAUCAUGAUUUUGCAUAAGAAACAACCACAACAAACCAGCAAGAUAGAUGUCCCACAUAAGAAUUUAAAUUAACAUAUUUUUCAGUUAGUAUUAACGUGGGUGCAGUGCUGAGAAUGUGCUCACAGGAAUUUUAGAGCAAAUAGCAAAAGAAAAAUCAAACAUGAAUAGAAAUCAGUUAAAAGUGUAUUUGUCAGUCAUUUUUACCAAGGUUUCUGCACCUUUGUCUAAUUAAGUUUAGCCUAGGGCCUCCUUUGCUUUUAUGUUUAAUAUGUAGAUUUCAGUGCAGUAGAACAAAACUAGUUUUAUUCAAGAUUUAUGUAGCAGUAGGACAAAAAGGCUCAUUGGGAAAUAUAUACAUAUAUUGAAUUUUUGCUGUCCUAAGUAAUUUCCACAUUGAAUCCAAGCUGUGGAUUCACAACAUUUCUCACAACUAGGAGAACUAGGAAAAGAAUAUGGUUCUCAUCCUUAAUCCUAGCAAGUUUUGAAUGCAAUGAAAUGAUAUGCUGAUCUACUGUGAUAUUUUGUAGAUAAAACAUUUGAUUUAUAAUAAGGCAAUCAUCAAAAAGAUAUAUAUCUGUAUAUAUAUAUAUAUAUAAAUAUAUUUUUUUUAACACAAGUUUUCCUAACGAAGUCUAUGACAUCAAGCUGCGUGGUGCAGUCAACACUCCUGAGAGAUGGGAUGCUAUCCAGGGAAACCUAGAGAAGCUUGAAUAGUGAGCCCAAGAGAGCCUUAUGAGGUUCAACAAAUCCAAGUUCAAGGUCUUCUACUUGGGUCUUGGCAACCCCCCACUAUCAAUACAAGCUGGGGAAUUAAAGGAUAGAGGACAGCCCAGCCCAGCCUUGUGAAAAGGACUUGGGACACUGGCCGAUGGUAAGCUGAACAUGAGCCAGCAAUGUGCGCUCACAGCCCAGAAAGCCAACCAUAUCCUGGGCUGCAUCAACAGCAGUGCGGUCAGCAGGGAAAGAGAGGUGACCCUGCCCUCUACUCUGCUCUGAUGUGACCUCACCUGGAGUGCUGUGUCCAGAUGAGGAGUCCUCUGUACAGGAGAGAUGUGGACCUGUUGGAGAACAACCAGAGGAGAGACACAAAAAUAAUCUAAGGUAUAGAACACCUCCCCUAUGAGGACUAGGAGAGCUGGGGCUGUUCAGCCUGGAGAAUAGAAGGCUCCGGGGAGACCUGAUAGUGGCCAUUCAGUAUAUAAAGGGAGCUAUAAGAAAGAAGGGGACAGAUUAUUUAACAGAGUCUGUUGUGACAGGACAAGGGGAAAUGGUUUCAAACUAAAAGAGGGGAGAUUUAAAUUGAAUAUAAGGAAAAAGUUUUUACAAUAGGAUUUGUGAAGCACUGGAACAGGUUGCCCAGAGAGGUUGUGAGUGUCCUGUUCUUGGAGACAUUCACGGUCAGGUUGGAUGGUGUUCUGAGCAACUUGAUAUAGCUGUAGAUCAGCCUGUUAUUUGCAGAGGAACUGGACUUGAUGACUUCUAAGGGUCUCUUCCAACUAAAAUGAUUCUAUGACUCUAUAAUUGGUAGCUACCAAUAUAGCCUGAAGAUCUUAAGUUAGCACUCAUCCAGUGAAAUUAGAGUGUGCUCCUUUUUGGAGUCUAAUAAUAAAUGCAGUUUAAAGUAACAAACAACUUUGUACUUGUGGUACUUCAUAACACUGAAGCACAGCUUGUUUCCAAAAGAUAGCUACUUACAUUAGCUACUUGUUUGAAAAGAAUAUGAGACAAAAAAUGUACUGGUGACAAUUUUCUUAAGUGUCGUAGGUAUACAGUUUAAAAAUAUGUGUAAUUAGCUGUACCCCAAUGGCAUUUAUGGCUGUGAUGCUUUUUUACAGACAUAAUCAUGGUAAUAAAAGCCCUAGGAGUUGAUCUGGUGCAAAAAGGAUUCAUCUGAACUCCUGAAUUUAAACUAUUUUUAAACUCAUGUUAAUCAAAGAUUUCUAUGCUUUCUUAUUUUAGCUGUAUCAGUAUACACUGCCAGACUCAAGCAACUUAUUUUAGCCUAAGCAUUUAAAUUUCAUAAAAUUUCUCUAAAAAUUAACUGGAAAAUAAAAACAGGUCUACAGAGUGCUAAGAUAGUGGUGUUCAGAGUAGUGCAAGUGGUGUUAAGAGCUGUUGGACAAAAAAAUAGAUAUCAAGACACUUCUCAGCUCCUGUAUUUGUGUUCAGUGGAUUAGAUCAGAGUUUUAAAUUUUAAUCCCAUAUAUGACAUGAGGCCAAUUCCUAGAGAGAAACCUUUUGCUUUUACUUUGGAUUAAAUGUUGCUGAGUUUUUCUCAUAUUCGUAGCUGUGUUAUUUGGAACUGUUUCACAGAAUCAUAGAAACAUAGAGUCGCUCAGGCUGGAAAAGACCAACUGCAACCUAACUGUACUACCCUAACUGAAAUGGGAAGGGAUCUCUGCAUCCAACUGGUCCAACUCCUGUUCCAGAAGGGCACUUAGAGCAUGCUGCCCAGGACCAUGUCUAGGUAGUGUUUGAAGGUCUCCAAGGUGGAGUCCCCACAACCUCUCUCUUUGCCCUCUCCCUUCAACUAUUUGUACACAGUGAUAAGAGCCUCUUCUCCAGGCUGAACAGUCUCAGCCUAAAGCGUAUGGAAUAUGACCAUAAUUUGAGAAGAGUAAUCUAACUGCCUAAAAAUGCAUAAGAUAAGCUCUGAUUCCAGCCCAACAAUGGAUCUUUGGUAUAACUUAGAAAAAAAAUGCAAUUUCUUCAGUUUUGAAUUUUAUAAUUAAGAAUAAAAAAUGAAAAUAGUCCAUAUUUACCAUUAUUUUCAUUUACCACCUUCACUGUUAAUGACUUUAUAUAUACAGCUCAACAGGAAAACCUCUAGCUACUCUAGGCAGCUGGGGUUUGUAAUUAUUACUCUAAUUAUUCAGAAUGCCUGUAUUUGAGUUUAGCUUCUGCCAUCAUGAUCAAUACUUUUGACUUGAUGGCCUUGUGAAAUUCUGAUAUUUGCAUUCUUUAUAUUUUUAGAGAAGACAGCAAUCAGAAAGAAAUCACUGUCAUGUUUUUGAUGGUUUUGUUUGUAUACAUUGAAGAAAUGUAAAGUCAGGACAAGGCAAACUAGGAGAAAGCUGCUCUUUCUUCAUAACAUUACCACUGAGUGACUUUAAUUGCUUUAACUAUAUAAAGAGAGAACUCAGACUUACAAGUUAUUGAAGCUUAACAAACAUAACUCAUCAGCUGACCUUAAGUAACUGACCAAGUCAUUCCCCUCUGCCCAUGGCAAAGGCCUGGUAAAAUAUGUUAGCUUAUCUUUAUAACACACUCCCAUGCUGCAGUUAGAAUGGCUUAGACCACACAGGUAGUAGUUGCCAUGGAUAAGCUUAUACUAUUCUUUAAAGCAUUGCUGUUACAGUCACUGGUGUGCCUGAGCCCCUGCUUAUAGCAAUAUAUUUCUGCUUGUAAAAUUCCCUCCACAGACAAGACCAGCUUUUGCUUUUAUCAUUAUUUCAAUCACUUUAGUGUAGAUCCAAUUACACAGGUAUAAGAGUGUUUCUACUGGCAUACCCUGGCAUCAGUACAACAGCAGUUAAACACAUAACUCUAGAAUCAGGAUAGAUGUGUGAAUAACAACAUCUGAUCAACAGCCAUGCUGACAAAAUUUAAACGAGAUCAAGCUUAAAUCUUAUCCACCUCUGACAAUGGCAAUGCAUGUUAUGUGCCAGGCUUACUGGGCAUGAGAGGACAGUAUGACCAGAAGCUGAUUCAGGAAAACUUCCCUCAUGCAUGUUUAAUGCAAGUCAGAGAUAUUCAUCCCUAGCUGUGCUGUAGACAGUGGUGUCCUAACCCAAAACCACAUGCAUGGCAGCAAUAAAUGCCAAAUUUAUGACUACCACCAGAGCAUAUACAUAUACAUUAUGGCAUUGUCUAUCUAUAACUAUAUACUGUUGUGUAUUACAUUUCCCAAUGAGCUCUGCAUUCUUUUGUUAUGUGAAACAGAGAAAUAGACUGUAGAUCACGUUAGAUACGGAUUUUCUGCUUACCAAAGCCAUGGGUCAAUACACUAGAAGGCAAAGGUGAAGUACUACUGUAGUCUUUUUCCACUUUCGCUUCUAUACAUUUCCUUGCAAUGUGUUGUAAAUGAAGAGCAGAGGCCAUGAUCUGUAUUAGACCUGAACUAAAACUGUCUCACUUUGGUCUAUGAAAAAAAAAAUCUCAGCUUGUAAUCUGUACUGCCAUGUAAUUCAGGUCAUAUUCUAUCCAUAGUUAAACAAAAUGCUUUACCUGAACUGAAAAUAAAGUAUGCAUUGCUGCUGAUAUAUCUGCCAAAUUUAAAACAUGAUAUUAACUAAAGUCGACAGCAUAAGCCACUCAAACAAGCCCUGAGGGAGUCCAAAAUGCUCCUUAAUAUUUAUUUUUCAUAUUUGAUUGCAGGUUAUGCACAGGUAAGUGUAGUACUACCCUGAGGGUUUUAAGUGUAACGUAGUCAACCAUGAUAAUACCUUCAGUAUCUCAGAAGACAGUUCUCACAAUGACUAAUAUGAAAUGAAAGCGAAGCUGAGUGUUUUUCAGACUAGUGUUAAGUUUCCUCUACAGUUAUUUUAGUAGGUUUCCGAAAUGCUUUUGGUGUUUGCCUGUGAGUAAGAGAAAAACAAAUACUUUCCUAUAUCUAUCACAGUAUUUUCCAGCACUCAAAGAACCCUAACAUUAACUUGCUUUUAUAGCCCUGUAAUACACGAGAAAUCACUAUCCUCAUGAUCUUCCACUACUUCCUGUAAAAAUUUAGACUGGUGUUUCCCUGUCAUUUACUCAGAAAUGAAUCACUAACAGUUAGCACAUAUGCAUGUAGUAGUGACAAAAGAAAAUGAGCUGGAAUUAGUCUACUUCAGGUGUUCCCGUCCAUUUUAACCUCUCACAAUGGUAAAACAUGGAAGAGAUAGUCACAAAAAUACCAUGUUUUUAAAGAUAUUUUUCUAAAUCUUAAUUAUUUAAAAAGUAAAAUGUAAUAUCAUAACACAUUUAAAUAUAUUCAUACACAUUAGACAGACAUUGAAAAACAGUUAUGUCCCAGAAGAAAACAGUCUUCAGGUCAACCCUACCAGCUCUGGCUGCUCUAAGUUGCUCAACUGCUUCAAACAGACCUACUUCUGGCUUAACAGUGAGCGAAUUUCAAGCAGAUUUGUAUUGUUAGGAUAGCACAGAACACUAAAAAGUAUUACCUAAUUUUAUCUCUAAUAAGACAAAAAAAUGAAAAAGAAGGUAAAGGACAAAGUUAAGCCUAGGCUUCUUACAUAGUUUUUUGGUAGGAGUUAUACUUGCAUAAUGGGAUCAACAAAAAUUAAUAGGCUGAAUCUUGCCCCUUUACUCCACACUACUGAGGCCUCACCUGGAGUACUGCAUCCAGAUGUGGAUUCCUCAAUACAGGAGAGAGACAGACCUGUUGGAGUGCAUCCAGAAAAGGGCCACAAAAGUGAUCCAAGGGAUGGAAUACCUCUCCUAUGAGCACAGACUGAGAGAGCUGGGGCUGUUCAGCCUGGAAAAGAGAAGACUGUGAAGUGGCCUGAUAACAGAAUUUCAGUAUCUAAAGUGGAGAUACAGAAUAGAAGGGGACAGACUUUUUAGCAGAGUCUGUGAUGACAGAAGUAGGGGAAAUGGCUUCAAGCUCAAAGAUUUAGGUUGGAUAUAAGGAAAAAAGUCUUUUACAGUGAGAGUGCUGAGGCACUGGAACAGGUUACCUAGAGAUGUGCUUGACGCCCCAUCCCUGGAGACUUUCAAGGCAAGGCUGGAUAAGGCCCUUGGUAUCCUGAACUAUCUGUGGUGUUUCUGUUCAUUGCAGGGGAGUUGGACUAGAUGGCUCUCAGAGGUUCCUUCCAACUGUAAGGAUUCUAUGAUUGUAUAAAUGAAGAAAUACAGUACCCAAUGCUAUAUUUUGAAUUUCUGCCCCUCUCAAAGUCUUAGUAUCAACAGAACGUCUUACCUUCUGUAUUUCCAGAAUUACAGUUCAAGAAGUAAGAUAGUAUACACAAGAAAGGAGGGAUGAGGCUCUCCUGGCUUUCUGUAAGCAUCUCUGGUGUUAGAGCAUACCCACAGGUUACAGGAGACCAGAUUCUGUUCUCACCCAGCUGCUGGUGGGAUGGAGUAGUUGCUUUUGUGUGGAGUUUAGAAGAUGUACUCCUACUGUUAAUUUAAUUUAAAUUCUGGAUGAUAGGAAAAAAGUUUUCCUCUGUCAUUUCUCUAACACCAGUAGCUUUAGAGGAAGCCAAGUUCUACCAGAAAACAUGAGAUAAAUGUAAUUCUGGUGACUGGAGUUAUGAUUUCUGUACUAAGUUUGUCUUAGAAGACAAGUGAAAAGAUGCUUUAUCACAGUUCAGCUUUAAAUUUUGAAGGCUUUGUCUUGUGAAACUAGGAUAUUUCACCAAAAUGCAGUUCCUUUCCUUUUAUCAUCUUCAGAGAUGAGUUAAUGGAUUAGUAUUUUUGUUAAUAUAAUUAUUACAAACAUAAAACUUAAUCUGGGCAUAAAUAAUAAAGUUUUGUUACUGAUUUUAUUUUAUUUUAUUGAGUAAUCCUCUCAAGUAUGUUUUUAAAAGAACAAGAUGCAUAAUGGAAAGCACUUUAAACAGAUUACGUCCAAAAUUUGAAACAAAAAAGUAUUGAAGUGUUU
ensembl:lncRNA